AUUUGUAUGUCUCGUAGAAACUAUUGGUGCCUCCUUAUUUUCGUUGCCUGAAGCACUUAUGUUUGGCAUAUCAACCUUCCGUCAUCUUUUACUUUUCCAUUUUCCUCUGUGAGUUAGGGAUCUGAUAG